UCAAGCGAAUAAGCGCACACGGUGGAUGCCUUGGCGGUCAGAGGCGAUGAAGGACGUGGCAGCCUGCGAAAAGUAUCGGGGAGCUGGCAACAAGCUUUGAUCCGGUAAUGUCCGAAUGGGGAAACCCACCCGCUUGCGGGUAUCCUGCAGUGAAUACAUAGCUGCUGGAAGCGAACCUGGUGAACUGAAAUAUCUAAGUAACCAGAGGAAAAGAAAUCAACCGAGAUUCCGUAAGUAGCGACGAGCGAACGCGGACUAGCCCUUAAGCUGAUUUGGUUCUAGGAAAACACUCUGGAAAGAGUGGCCAUAGAAGGUGAUAGCCCUGUAUCUGAAAGGGCCAUUUCAGUGAAGACGAGUAGGGCGGGGCACGUGAAACCCUGUCUGAACAUGGGGGGACCAUCCUCCAAGGCUAAAUACUACUGACCGACCGAUAGUGAACCAGUACCGUGAGGGAAAGGCGAAAAGAACCCCGGAGAGGGGAGUGAAAUAGAACCUGAAACCGUGUGCGUACAAGCAGUAGGAGCUCCGCAAGGAGUGACUGCGUACCUUUUGUAUAAUGGGUCAGCGACUUACUGUUCGUGGCAAGCUUAACCGUAUAGGGGAGGCGAAGGGAAACCGAGUCUGAUAAGGGCGCAUAGUCGCGGGCAGUAGACCCGAAACCGGGUGAUCUAGUCAUGCCCAGGGUGAAGGUGCGGUAACACGCACUGGAGGCCCGAACCCACUCCCGUUGCAAAGGUAGGGGAUGAGGUGUGAUUAGGAGUGAAAAGCUAAUCGAACCCGGAGAUAGCUGGUUCUCCUCGAAAGCUAUUUAGGUAGCGCCUCAUAUGUAUCCUCUCGGGGGUAGAGCACUGUUAUGGCUAGGGGGUCAUCGCGACUUACCAAACCAUUGCAAACUCCGAAUACCGAGACGGACUGUAUGGGAGACACACGGCGGGUGCUAACGUCCGUCGUGAAAAGGGAAACAACCCAGACCCACAGCUAAGGUCCCAAAUUCACUGCUAAGUGGAAAACCAUGUGGAAAGGCACAGACAGCCAGGAGGUUGGCUUAGAAGCAGCCACCCUUUAAAGAAAGCGUAAUAGCUCACUGGUCGAGUCGGUCUGCGGGGAAGAUUUAACGGGGCUAAGCAGUGAACCGAAGCUUGGGGUGCAUAACUUUGUUAUGCGCGGUAGAGGAGCGUUCCGUAAGCCGUUGAAGGUGGAUUGAGAAGUCUGCUGGAGGUAUCGGAAGUGCGAAUGCUGACAUGAGUAACGAUAAUGCGGGUGAAAAACCCGCACGCCGAAAGCCCAAGGUUUCCUUGCGCAACGUUAAUCGGCGCAGGGUGAGUCGGCCCCUAAGGCGAGGACGAAAGUCGUAGUCGAUGGGAAGCAGGUUAAUAUUCCUGCACCUCGCGUAAGUGCGAUGGAGGGACGGAGAAGGUUAGGUGUACCAGGCGUUGGUUGUCCUGGGGAAAGGCGGUAGGUUUGGAUCUUUGGCAAAUCCGGGAUCCUUUAAGACCGAGCACCGAGACGAGUCUUUAAGACGAAGUCACUGAUACCACGCUUCCAGGAAAAGCUCCUAAGCUUCAGCUUACGCAGACCGUACCGUAAACCGACACAGGUGGGUAGGAUGAGAAUUCUCAGGCGCUUGAGAGAACUCGGGUGAAGGAACUAGGCAACAUGGCACCGUAACUUCGGGAGAAGGUGCACCCUUUUUGGUGGCUCGUGCGAGCUAUAGCUGAAGAGGGUCGCAGUAACCAGGCCGCUGCGACUGUUUAUCAAAAACACAGCACUCUGCAAACACGAAAGUGGACGUAUAGGGUGUGACGCCUGCCCGGUGCUGGAAGGUUAAUUGAUGGGGUCAGCCGCAAGGCGAAGCUCUUGAUCGAAGCCCCAGUAAACGGCGGCCGUAACUAUAACGGUCCUAAGGUAGCGAAAUUCCUUGUCGGGUAAGUUCCGACCUG
rnacentral:rRNA from 1 species